AGCCAUGCACGUGAAAGCACACUCCAAUGAAUGGUGAAGCUGCGAACGGCUCAUUACAACAGCCAUAGUUUAUUGGAUGUUACUCUUACAUGGAUACCUGUGGUAACCUAAGAGCUAAUACAUGCAAUGAAAACCCAACCGUAGGGAAGGGUUGCGUUUGUUAGAACAAAACCAAUCGAGUUUACUCGUUACUUGGUGAAUCUGAAUAAUUUGGCUGAUCGCAUGGUCUAGAACCGGCGACGUUUCCUUCAAAUGUCUGCCUUAUCAACUUUCGAUGGUAGUUUAUGCGCCUACCAUGGUUGUAACGGGUAACGGAGAAUUAGGGUUCGACUCCGGAGAGGGAGCCUGAGAAACGGCUACCACAUCCAAGGAAGGCAGCAGGCACGCAAAUUACCCACUCCCGGCACGGGGAGGUAGUGACGAAAAAUAACGAGACGGUUCUCUAAGAGGCCCGUCAUCAGAAUGGGUACAAUCUAAAUCCUUUAACGAGGAUCUAUUGGAGGGCAAGUCUGGUGCCAGCAGCCGCGGUAAUUCCAGCUCCAAAAGCGUAUAUUAAAGUUGUUGCGGUUAAAAAGCUCGUAGUUGGAUCUGUGCUUUAGGCUGGCGGUCCCCUAGAAAGGCGGUACUGCUAUGCCUGGGCUUGUUCUCUGGUUUUCCUUUGGUGCUCUUAAUCGAGUGCUUUAGGUGGCCGGAAUUUUUACUUUGAAAAAAUUAGAGUGCUUAAAGCAGGCAGUUAGCCUGAAUAGUGGUGCAUGGAAUAAUGGAAUAGGACUUCGGUUCUAUUUUGUUGGUUUUCGGAACUCGAAGUAAUGAUUAAGAGGGACAGACGGGGGCAUUCGUAUCGCGACGUUAGAGGUGAAAUUCUUGGAUCGUCGCGAGACGCACGACUGCGAAAGCAUUGCCAAGA
rnacentral:rRNA from 1 species